AGGAUCUGUACGAGGAGGCCAUGAUGGAGGAGCACCAGCCUCUUAUAUCACAAGAUGGAUCCAGGAGGAGAAGACCACCAGAGAUAUGUCCCCAUCCUCUGUAUUCCCAGGACUGUCCAGCGGAGAAGGUCCCGGAGACUCCUCAGAUGACAAAUCAGGGGGAAAAUCUGACUGAUAUUAAAGUAGAGGAUGAAGAAG